rnacentral:tRNA from 1 species
GGGGCUGUAGCUCAGUUGGCUAGAGCGUCUGGCUGGCAGCCAGAAGGUCAGGGGUUCGAGUCCCCUCAGCUCCA